rnacentral:rRNA from 1 species
UGGGGAAUAUUGGACAAUGGGGGCAACCCUGAUCCAGCAAUGCCGCGUGUGUGAAGAAGGUCUUCGGAUUGUAAAGCACUUUCGACGGGGACGAUGAUGACGGUACCCGUAGAAGAAGCCCCGGCUAACUUCGUGCCAGCAGCCGCGGUAAUACGAAGGGGGCUAGCGUUGCUCGGAAUGACUGGGCGUAAAGGGCGUGUAGGCGGUUUACACAGUCAGAUGUGAAAUCCCCGGGCUUAACCUGGGAGCUGCAUUUGAUACGUGUAGACUAGAGUGUGAGAGAGGGUUGUGGAAUUCCCAGUGUAGAGGUGAAAUUCGUAGAUAUUGGGAAGAACACCGGUGGCGAAGGCGGCAACCUGGCUCAUGACUGACGCUGAGGCGCGAAAGCGUGGGGAGCAAACAGGAUUAGAUACCCUGGUAGUCCACGCUGUAAACGAUGCGUGCUAGAUGUUGGGUAACUUUGUUAUUCAGUGUCGCAG